rnacentral:rRNA from 1 species
AGGGACCGCUGGCGGCAGGCCUAACACAUGCAAGUCGAGCGGAUGAAGGGAGCUUGCUCCUGGAUUCAGCGGCGGACGGGUGAGUAAUGCCUAGGAAUCUGCCUGGUAGUGGGGGAUAACGUCCGGAAACGGGCGCUAAUACCGCAUACGUCCUGAGGGAGAAAGUGGGGGAUCUUCGGACCUCACGCUAUCAGAUGAGCCUAGGUCGGAUUAGCUAGUUGGUGGGGUAAAGGCCUACCAAGGCGACGAUCCGUAACUGGUCUGAGAGGAUGAUCAGUCACACUGGAACUGAGACACGGUCCAGACUCCUACGGGAGGCAGCAGUGGGGAAUAUUGGACAAUGGGCGAAAGCCUGAUCCAGCCAUGCCGCGUGUGUGAAGAAGGUCUUCGGAUUGUAAAGCACUUUAAGUUGGGAGGAAGGGCAGUAAGUUAAUACCUUGCUGUUUUGACGUUACCAACAGAAUAAGCACCGGCUAACUUCGUG